AUUGAACGCUGGCGGCAUGCUUUACACAUGCAAGUCGAACGGUAACAGGCCGCAAGGUGCUGACGAGUGGCGAACGGGUGAGUAAUGCAUCGGAACGUGCCCAGUCGUGGGGGAUAACGCAGCGAAAGCUGUGCUAAUACCGCAUACGAUCUAUGGAUGAAAGCGGGGGACCGUAAGGCCUCGCGCGAUUGGAGCGGUCGAUGUCAGAUUAGGUAGUUGGUGGGGUAAAGGCUCACCAAGCCAACGAUCUGUAGCUGGUCUGAGAGGACGACCCGCGACGCUGGGACUGAGACACGGCCCAGACUCCUACGGGAGGCAGCAGUGGGGAAUUUUGGACAAUGGGCGCGAGCCUGAUCCAGCAAUGCCGCGUGCAGGAAGAAGGCCUUCGGGUUGUAAACUGCUUUUGUACGGAACGAAAAGGUUUGGGUUAAUACCCUGGGCCGAUGACGGUACCGUAAGAAUAAGCACCGGCUAACUACGUGCCAGCCGCCGCGGUAAGAC
rnacentral:rRNA from 1 species